rnacentral:hammerhead_ribozyme from 1 species
AUCCAGCUGAAGAGUCCCAAAUAGGACUAAAAGCGCGUCCUGGAU